rnacentral:rRNA from 1 species
AUUGAACGCUGGCGGCAUGCCUUACACAUGCAAGUCGAACGGUAACGGGCCUUCGGGUGCCGACGAGUGGCGCACGGGUGCGUAAUACAUCGGAACGUGCCCGAUCGUGGGGGAUAACGAGGCGAAAGCUUUGCUAAUACCGCAUACGAUCUACGGAUGACAGCAGGGGACCGCAAGGCCUUGCGCGGACGGAGCGGCCGAUGGCAGAUUAGGUAGUUGGUGGGAUAAAAGCUUACCAAGCCGACGAUCUGUAGCUGGUCUGAGAGGAUGAUCAGCCACACUGGGACUGAGACACGGCCCAGACUCCUACGGGAGGCAGCAGUGGGGAAUUUUGGACAAUGGGCGCAAGCCUGAUCCAGCCAUGCCGCGUGCAGGAUGAAGGCCUUCGGGUUGUAAACUGCUUUUGUACGGAACGAAAAGCCUUCUUUUAAUACAGGAGGGUCAUGACGGUACCGUAAGAAUAAGCACCGGCUAACUACGUG